rnacentral:siRNA from 1 species
GAAACAAAGUGGGCGCAUGUGGUA